UAAUCCUGGAAAUGACUGGAACCAUACUGGGAGUGACUCCGGGUCCUAUUGGAUCAUCCUGAGAGCCACUGGGAUUACAGUGGGUGUGAAUGGAACUGGACUGGGGGUUACUGGGAGCUACUGGGCCCAUGUUGGGAGGAAAAUGGGGACACAUUGGGAGCAACUGAGAACAACUGGAAGGUACUGGAACCAUGCUGUGGGGACUGAGACCACAACUGGGGCCACUGGGAUCAUACUGGGAGCAGCCGGGACCACACUUUGGGACACUGACAGAAACUGGGAUUGUCCUGGAGGGGCAAAUGGAUUCAUACGGGGAGGAACUGGGAACAACUGGAACUACUCUGGAAGCAACUGGGUUCAUACUGGGACCACAGUGGGAGCAGCUGGAUCCAUGGUGGGUGAGACUGGGAUCACACUGAGGGUGACUGGAAUCAUACUGGCAUUGACUGGGAGUGGCUGUGAGCAACUGGAAUCACACUGAAAGCAACUGGGAGGAGGUGGGAGUGACUGGGAUCAUACUGGGAGAGACAGGGAGCCCUGGGGAUCAUACUGGAGGCUCCUGGGGUCAUGCUGGCAUUGACACGGAGCAGCUGGGAUCACACUGGG